rnacentral:rRNA from 1 species
GAUGAACGCUGGCGGCGUGCCUAAUACAUGCAAGUCGAGCGAACAGACGAGGAGCUUGCUCCUCUGACGUUAGCGGCGGACGGGUGAGUAACACGUGGAUAACCUACCUAUAAGACUGGGAUAACUUCGGGAAACCGGAGCUAAUACCGGAUAAUAUAUUGAACCGCAUGGUUCAAUAGUGAAAGACGGUUUUGCUGUCACUUAUAGAUGGAUCCGCGCCGCAUUAGCUAGUUGGUAAGGUAACGGCUUACCAAGGCGACGAUGCGUAGCCGACCUGAGAGGGUGAUCGGCCACACUGGAACUGAGACACGGUCCAGACUCCUACGGGAGGCAGCAGUGGGGAAUAUUGCGCAAUGGGCGAAAGCCUGACGGAGCAACGCCGCGUGAGUGAAGAAGGUCUUCGGGUCGUAAAACUCUGUUAUUGGGGAAGAAAAAAUGUGGGAGUAAAUAUGGACGUCUUGACGGUACCUAAUCAGAAAGCCACGGCUAACUACGUG